ACAGAGGCGCGGUCUGUCGCUGGAUGCAUUAAGCAUAAAGAGGAAAGUCCGGGCAACAAAGAGCAGCGCAUUUCUUAACGGGAAGCCGGCGGCGACGUCGGGGAUAAUGUGACAGAAAAGAACCGCCCGCUAUUCGUAGCGGGUAAGGGUGAAAAGGCGGGGUAAGAGCCCACCGGGCGUCAUGGCGACAUGAUGCGCCGCACAUCCUGCGCGUUGCAAGGUCAAGUAUACCGGCAAUCAAGGGUUGCUCGCCCGUUGCCGGGGGGUAGACUGCUAUAGCGCGCCGGGCAACCGGCCGCAAAGAUAAAUGACAGACACGUCUUUUGAAGACGCACAUAACCCGGCUUAUAACGCCUCUGUUACU
rnacentral:RNase_P_RNA from 1 species